UACGUAGGGUGCGAGCGUUAAUCGGAAUUACUGGGCGUAAAGCGUGCGCAGGCGGUUCGUUGUGUCGGUGGUGAAAGCCCCGGGCUUAACCUGGGAAUGGCCGUCGAAACUGGCGAACUGGAGUGUGGCAGAGGGGGGUGGAAUUCCGCGUGUAGCAGUGAAAUGCGUAGAGAUGCGGAGGAACACCGAUGGCGAAGGCAGCCCCCUGGGCUAACACUGACGCUCAGGCACGAAAGCGUGGGGAGCAAACAGG
rnacentral:rRNA from 1 species